GGCUCAGAUUGAACGCUGGCGGCAUGCCUUACACAUGCAAGUCGAACGGCAGCACGGGGCAACCUGGUGGCGAGUGGCGAACGGUGAGUAAUGCAUCGGAACGUGCCAUUGAGUGGGGAUAACGUAGCGAAAGUUGCGCUAAUACCGCAUAUUCUGUGAGCAGGAAAGCAGGGGACCGCAAGGCCUUGCGCUCUUUGAGCGGCCGAUGUCAGAUUAGCUAGUUGGUGAGGUAACGGCUUACCAAGGCGACGAUCUGUAGCGGGUCUGAGAGGAUGAUCCGCCACACUGGAAUUGAGACACGGUCCAGACUCCUACGGGAGGCAGCAGUGGGGAAUUUUGGACAAUGGGCGCAAGCCUGAUCCAGCCAUGCCGCGUGAGUGAAGAAGGCCUUCGGGUUGUAAAGCUCUUUCGGCCGGGAAGAAAUCGCAUGGGUUAAUACCCUGUGUGGAUGACGGUACCGGAAUAAGAAGCACCGGCUAACUACGUG
rnacentral:rRNA from 1 species